AUAAUGAUGUUUCUUUACUUUACAUUUAUGACAGUUUUUACAGAAAAUGUUCAUGCAAAUGCAAUAACACCCCUCUCUACUAAAAAGGAUGCUUUGGAAGGAGAAAAUGUUACUCUUUCCUGCAACUAUAGUGGAAGUACUAAUAACAAUUUUCAGUGGUACAGACAGUAUCCCAACACUGCCCCAGAAAUUCUCCUAAAGACUUUUGAGAAUGCGGAUCCAGCACAGAAGAACCGUCUUGCUGCUGAAGCUCAUAAGGACAAGAAACAACUUGACCUGGAGAUCUCCAAAACUGAAGUGGCAGACGCUGCAAUAUACUACUGCGCCCUGGUGCCCACAGUAACAGGAAACCCUUCUACACUGUACAAAAACCUGUGA